CAGUCGAACGAGUUCUCGUUGAAUCUCGGUGCUUGCACCGAGAUUCAACAUGGCUCGAGUGGCGGACGGGUGAGUAACACGUGGGUAACCUGCCCCUAAGUGGGGGAUAACAUUUGGAAACAGAUGCUAAUACCGCAUAGAUCCAAGAACCGCAUGGUUCUUGGCUGAAAGAUGGCGUAAGCUAUCGCUUUUGGAUGGACCUGCGGCGUAUUAGCUAGUUGGUGAGGUAAUGGCUCACCAAGGCGAUGAUACGUAGCCGAACUGAGAGGUUGAUCGGCCACAUUGGGACUGAGACACGGCCCAAACUCCUACGGGAGGCAGCAGUAGGGAAUCUUCCACAAUGGACGCAAGUCUGAUGGAGCAACGCCGCGUGAGUGAAGAAGGCUUUCGGGUCGUAAAACUCUGUUGUUGGAGAAGAAUGGUCGGCAGAGUAACUGUUGUCGGCGUGACGGUAUCCAACCAGAAAGCCACGGCUAACUACGUGCCAGCAGCCGCGGUAAUACGUAGGUGGCAAGCGUUAUCCGGAUUUAUUGGGCGUAAAGCGAGCGCAGGCGGUUUUUUAAGUCUGAUAUGAAAGCCCUCGGCUUAACCGAGGAAGCGCAUCGGAAACUGGGAAACUUGAGUGCAGAAGAGGACAGUGGAACUCCAUGUGUAGCGGUGAAAUGCGUAGAUAUAUGGAAGAACACCAGUGGCGAAGGCGGCUGUCUGGUCUGUAACUGACGCUGAGGCUCGAAAGCAUGGGUAGCGAACAGGAUUAGAUACCCUGGUAGUCCAUGCCGUANACGAUGAAUGCUAGGUGUUGGAGGGUUUCCGCCCUUCAGUGCCGCAGCUAACGCAUUAAGCAUUCCGCCUG
rnacentral:rRNA from 1 species